UUAGGGAAGGAACAGCUAACAGGUCGUCUUGUACCUCACUGAGUAUUACCACUUACCUACUGUACACGAGUAGAAUGCAGGCGGAGGACUUCUGUUGUGGUGUGUGUGAGGAACAAUAUGGCGACAACCGUCCUCCUCGCAUCCUGACUUGUGGACAUUCUCUCUGCACAUUUUGUGUCCAACAAAUUUUCACCAGAGACAGCAGGUGUCCAGAAUGUCGUGCCCGCAUCACCGUCUCCAAGGGAAAGGACCCGCCUGUCAAUUUCGAGUUAUUGAGGUUAGCUCGUUCCUUCGGGAAGGUUCAGGCAGAGCAGCAGAAAGGUUGCCAGGUCCUCGAGGGGAAGCCAGGUCAAGAUCCUGACGCAGGGGAGUGUAAAGCUCACGGCUCUCGCUUGUUGUUUAUAUGUUGCAAGUGUUAUAAGUGGGUAUGCAGGAACUGUCUGGUGGUGGACCAUCGCCAGCCACCGCUGGGACAGUGUAACAUUAUGACGUUUUCCCAGGCGAUGUUCGAGGCUAAAAACAAUAAUAAGAGCAACACAAGUUCUUUGUUACAGAAGAUUACCCAAAUGAAAGUCAGGCUCUCGAGAACAAAGUCUUUCUUAUUAUUAAAGGAAAGAGAACACAAAAAGGAGAUCGCCAAACUUCUUGAGGAGGUCCAUGACAUUCCUCACAAAGUUGAUGAGGUCAACAAUCACCUGAAGACGCUGGACUCUUGUCCGGCUGUACUCAAGGCAACCCAAAACUGUGUUGACCAAGCCCAGACUCUUGAAGAACUCAAGGCCUCCACCGAGACUGCUAAUGCUCGCUCAGACUCCACCAACCUUCUCUUGGACCAAGCGCAGCAACUCGUGAAAAAGGUCUGUCCAACUUAGUCUCACAUUCACAAAACCUCAACGUACAACAAAGUCUUUGUGCGAGGCGAAGCAUAUGGUAGAUGCGGCUGGUUAUAAAGCAGUGAAAAUGUAUCCACGAAUUGCAUAAAUUACCUUAUAAACCCAACAAUAAUAUUAUAAAAGUCAUAAAGAAGGACUAGAGUCAUACAUAUUGUGUCUUAACUCGUGAAGGAGACAGAGGGGCAUCACUGUGGUCAGGCAUCAGCCAUGGACGUCAACCCAAACGACUUCCCGGACCCGUGUGUGAUAGACUGGUGAGGUACACGAACACUGUGUGGUAGACUGGUGAGGUACACGAACACUGUGUGGUAGACUGGUGAGGCACACGAACACUGGGUGGUAGACUGGUGAGGUACUCGAACACUGUGUGGUAGACUGGUGAGGUACUCGAACACUGUGUGGUAGACUGGUGAGGCACACGAACACUGUGUGGUAGACUGGUGAGGUACACGAACACUGUGUGGUAGACUGGUGAGGUACUCGAACUCUGUGUGGUAGAAUGGUGAGGUACACGAGCUCUGUGUGGUAGACUGGUGAGGUACACGAACACUGUGUGGUAGACUGGUGAGGCACACGAACACUGGGUGGUAGACUGGUGAGGUACUCGAACACUGUGUGGUAGACUGGUGAGGUACUCGAACACUGUGUGGUAGACUGGUGAGGCACACGAACACUGUGUGGUAGACUGGUGAGGUACACGAACACUGUGUGGUAGACUGGUGAGGUACUCGAACACUGUGUGGUAGACUGGUGAGGUACACGAACACUGUGUGGUAGACUGGUGAGGUACACGAACACUACACAUGUUAUGUACAUUCGACCGAGUAGUGCCCUUUGAAAUGUUUACACACUUCAAUUAGGUCCCCCUUUGCCCAUCUGCAGUAUAAUCUAGACAGUUACAGUCGCUCUAAUCUCUCUGGAUAACUGAGGUGCCAAAGUGCAGGCACCAGUCUGUGGCCCUUCUUUGGGCAUUUUCAAUC
rnacentral:misc_RNA from 1 species